rnacentral:rRNA from 1 species
UGGGGAAUUUUGGACAAUGGGGGCAACCCUGAUCCAGCCAUGCCGCGUGAGUGAAGAAGGCCUUCGGGUUGUAAAGCUCUUUCAGCCGGGAAGAAAAUGCAUGGGUUAAUACCCUGUGCAGAUGACGGUACCGGAAUAAGAAGCACCGGCUAACUACGUG